rnacentral:tRNA from 1 species
AAAGAAUUAGUUAAAUUAACCUUAGUAUGUCAUGCUAAAAUUACUAGUCUAUACCCUAGUAUUCUUUA